UUGGAGGGCAAGUCUGGUGCCAGCAGCCGCGGUAAUUCCAGCUCCAAUAGCGUAUAUUAAAGUUGUUGCAGUUAAAAAGCUCGUAGUUGAACCUUGGGCCUGGCUGGCCGGUCCGCCUCACCGCGUGCACUGGUUCGGCCGGGCCUUUCCCUCUGGGGAACCCUGUGGUCUUCACUGAUCGUGGCGGGGAACCAGGACUUUUACUGUGAAAAAAUUAGAGUGUUCAAAGCAGGCCUAUGCUCGAAUACAUUAGCAUGGAAUAAUAAAAUAGGACGUGUGGUUCUAUUUUGUUGGUUUCUAGGACCGCCGUAAUGAUUAAUAGGGACAGUCGGGGGCAUCAGUAUUCAAUUGUCAGAGGUGAAAUUCUUGGAUUUAUUGAAGACUAACUACUGCGAAAGCAUUUGCCAAGGAUGUUUUCAUUAAUCAGGAACGAAAGUUAGGGGAUCGAAGACGAUCAGAUACCGUCGUAGUCUUAACCAUAAACUAUGCCGACUAGGGAUCGGACGGUGUUAUUUUUGACCCGUUCGGCACCUUACGGGAAAC
rnacentral:rRNA from 1 species